UCUCUGAGCUUAUGUUUGACCCCUCGCUUAUCUAAGAGGAUCGUGACCGUCGCAGUACACGGUUAGGAGGAUAGUUAUGAACAUCAAGUUUUAUACCGUGUGCCGUCCUCUAAGUUAAACGCUGUGGUGUAAAAAGCUUAAGCCUACUUAUUAGGGAUUUUCUUUGUUGUUUCCAAGGGUUGCCUGUGAAUAGACUGGGCCACCAGUCUUCUCAGAAAUAUUCUAAAAUUUUUAAGUUAAAAGUCCCGAAAAGAAUGGUUGAAGAGCUUUCCCGUAAACAAAGAGCCUAAGCUUUUAGUCUCCAGAGUUUAUGACCGUUAUUUUGGAGGUUUAUAGGCUUUUUGUUUACUUCCUAGUUUUUAGUUGUGAAGUUGAGGUGGUGAGGUUGGCAGGAGUGAGAUGUUACAGUAAUAAAUGCCACAGGGGGCAAAGGAGGCUUGGAAUUUAGUGGUGUGAUAAGGGAGACGGUGGGGAGACCCGGAACUUGCAAGCUUGUGUGAGGAAAAGCUGAGAGAAGAGGAUUGCCUCUUUUUCCAUAGGUUUCCUGGUGACAGUGGAAUUUUAGUUGCUUGCAGUUUUCAAAUUCUUUGGAGGUAAGAAAACCAGAGCCAGUAGCUUCUCUCUCUUCAGGCAGGUAGUGGAGAUCAGAGGGAAAGAAGCUGUUAAUUAACUGCAUUCUGUCUUCCCCUAGGAGCAGCCUGAGUAGGGAAGUUCUUCACCCACCUUCAGAAUGACAACAAAGCCAGAAAAUAUAGAUUUCAGGCACAAGAAUUCUUCACUCAGCAUAAGGCCACUAAUCUGGGAAAUAACGUGUCCCCCUCAGCUCAACUCCAAAAUGCUCCAAGUCUCAGUGCUUUACCUGCUUUCUGGAUGUGGGCCGGGUCGGCAGUGACAGAGGCUGUCUGGCUGAGCCCACACUGGUUCUCAGCAAAGACUCGAAAUGCAUAGGAGUUGCCGACGAUGAGGUCGGAGACUGUGCGGCUGGCGCGGUGAUAGCGCUCCAGCACCGUGAGCCACAGCUGUGGGGCCCCGGAAGAUGCGUGGAAUGAGACCCCUGUUUUGGCAACUCACUCCACCCCAGCCUACUGCGUGGAACUACCAGAGUCCCAUUCCAGAAUGUGCUGUUCCUCCCUCCCUCCAUCCCAGCUGGGCCUCACCCCAGAUUUGGUGUCAGCCUUUUGCACCGCAUAUCCCAGGAGUGCGUUCCCGUGUCUUGGGGCAGAGUCCACUCCAGGGUAGCGCUGGAGCCCCAGACAUCCACCAACUUGAUACUCUGAGGAGAGCCUGGCCUCUCUGAAAGGGCCAAGCAUGGCAGCGGGCAUGGCACGCCUCACACGCCAGGACAUUACCAGGAGGGGCCCCUCCGCUUCUGCUCAGCCACCCCUCCCUUCACCCACCACUGCGUCCCACAGCCCCGCUUCCCCGGCUCUCUGUGCUGAUUCCUCUUCAGGCUGGGGUGGGAGCCCCCAAGGACCACGUCGUCUCCCAUUCCCCCCACUGUACCGAUCACCAGGGUGUCAGUGGUGGCGGUGGCCUCCAGCCCGCCCAGCUGCACAUGGAGCUGGUAGUGACCCAAGUCAGCAC